rnacentral:misc_RNA from 1 species
GUCUUCUACAAGCAGCCGCGGUGUGCGGACGUCGCGUCGCGCGUCGCAGAGCGGUGGUGGUCGCAACCUCGGACCGUACGGCAAGGUAGUCAUGAACUGCAUCACUGCAGUUCCGCAAUGAUCUGCCGAGUCGAGGUCCGGGAAAUGAGCUUGUAGAAGGCCGCCAAUCCUCAAAAUUUUUCACCGAACAGGACCAUCAUCUGCCAUCAUCCAGCGAGCUAUGAAAGUAGCAGGAAAUAUUCUGGAAUGUUAGGCCAGCCACAGCAUCAUCUUCAAAGAACAUUGUUGCCUUGUGUUGCAACAUCCUUCGCCAUCUUCCAGCGAGCUAUGAAAGUAGCAGGAAAUAUUCUGGAAUGUUAGGCCAGCCACAGCAUCAUCUUCAAAGAACAUUGUUGCCUUGUGUUGCAACAUCCUUUGCCAUCUUCCAGCGAGCUAUGAAUGUAGCAAGAAAUAUUCCGGAGUAUUAGGCCAGCCGCAGCGUCGUCUUCAAAGAACAUUGUUGCCUUGUGUUGCAACAUCCUUUGCCAUCAUCCACCGACCUGUGAAAGUAGCAAGAAAUAUUCUGGAAUAUUAGACCAGCCGCAGCAUCAUCUUCAAAGAACUUUGUUGCCUUAAUAUGCAACAUCCUUUGCCAUCUUCCAGCGAGCUAUGAAAGUAGCAAGAAAUAUUCUGGAAUGUUAGGCCAGCCACAGCAUCAUCUUCAAAGAACACUGUUACCUUAUUAUGCAACAUCCUUUGCCAUCUUCCAGCGUGCUAUGAAAGUAGCAAGAGAUAUUCUGGAAUGUUAGGCCAGCCACAGCAUCACCUUCAAAGAACAUUGAUGCCUUGAGUUGCAACGCCCUUCGCCAUCUUCCAGCGAGCUAUGAAAGUAGCUAGAAAUAUUCUGGAAUGUUAGGCCAGCCGCAGCAUCAUCUUCAAAGAAUAUUGUUGCCUUAUUAUGCGAAUCCUUUGCCAUCUUCCAGCGAGCUAUGAAAGUAGCAAGAAAUAUUCUGGAAUGUUAGGCCAGCCGCAGCAUCAUCUUCAAACGACACUGCUACCUCGUGUUGUUUCCAGUCAAAAUGAAGAGAAGACAACGAGGAGAAUGGAAAUGACCACUGGUUCAGUAAAGCCUCCUGCCAUGGCUCCAUAAGACUUCCCUUUGGAUCUUGCGUUGUGACAGACAUCUGUCAUCUCUGAUCAUCCUUAGGUGUUGUCAACAUGGGGUUGGACCUUCAAUGUCUGGUCCAGUCACAAUAUUAUACAUGUAUGUAAAAUUAUUAUUGUAACGUUGUAAUAUAAAUAUAAUUGUACAAAUAACCACACAUAUGUAUUAUAAUUAUAAGAUAAUAUGGUAGAGCAAUCUAUAUUGUGUAUGCAGAAAACAAAUUCAAAGAAGAAAUGGUAUUGUAAAAUAAGGACUGAACCAUAAAUAGAAAAGAUUACUAAAUAACAAGUUAUGAGGUAGAACCAUACUGUUAACUAUGUUUCUAGAUACCUUAUAUGUUUCUAU